UACGGGGGGGGGCAAGCGUUGUUCGGAAUUACUGGGCGUAAAGGGCGCGUAGGCGGUGCUCUAAGUCGGAUGUGAAAACUCUGGGCUCAACCCAGAGCCUGCAUCCGAAACUGGAGUGCUAGAGUUCUGGAGGGGGUAGCGGAAUUCCCGGUGUAGCGGUGAAAUGCGUAGAUAUCUGGAGGAACACCGGUGGCGAAGGCGGCGUUCUGGACUGCAACUGACACUGAGGAACGAAAGCCAGGGGAGCAAACGGG
rnacentral:rRNA from 1 species